ensembl:lncRNA
UAAAUAUCUGCUGUCAUUAAUUGGCACAGAAGUUAAACCAUACCCAAUGGAAUGAAGUUAAACGACUUUGGUGCAGAGCUAACAACUGGAUAAUAUAAAAGCUAAAAUAAUGGCCGUCAUUCCCACAUGUUACAGUAGAAGAUACUCUAGAACUGUACAAGGUUAAAAAAGUAACAUGUAGUUUGUCCCAAGGUGUCUGCCUCCUCACCCAGAGCCAGACCUCCACCUCCUCACCCAGAGCCAGACCUCCACCUCCUCACCCAGAGCCAGACCUCCACCUCCUGUCAGAAGUCCUCCAGAACAGCUGAAAGGGGAGGCUGAGAGGCUGGGGACCGGAGGCUUGUGGUGCCAGGGUGGACCGGAGACUGAGGCUGGAGACCAGGGGCCUGCAGCACCGGACCAGAGGGUAACCAUCACCAAGCUCAUCUGAAACACUAAAAUCCACGACCAGGAAUCCAUGGCUGAAGGAGGUGAUGGAGGAGCCGUGCUGAUGGAGGAGCCCUGCUGAAGGCCCUGGGCUGGUGGAGGAGCUGAUGGAGGGCCUGCCUGGUGAAUGACGUCUGUCGUGGGACCAGGACUCUGUCUGAGGAGAGCUGCUGGAGGAGCUGAGAUGCUGGAGGACGACUAGGAAUCGACCAACAAGGAUUCCUCGUAAAACGUGUUUCUGGAGCGGAGGCGAGCUGGUAGGGGAGCCGUGAAUCUGGAGGAUGACCAUCACUCUACCAACAAGGAUUACUUUAGGGCCAGACUCGCGCUGUUUGUUCCAGACCAGGAAUCUGGCUGAGGAGAGCUGAUGGAGGAGCCAAGACUCUGGAGGACGACAUCACUCCACCAACCAGGAUCCUC